AACAAACGCUGGCGGCGUGCCUAAUACAUGCAAGUCGAACGGGGAAAGCUUUCGGGUGAGUACUAGUGGCGCACGGGUGAGUAACGCGUGGAUAAUCUGCCUUAGAGUGGGGGAUAACUAGUCGAAAGAUUAGCUAAUACAGCAUAAGACCACAAGAACUGCGGUUCAAGGGGUCAAAGGUUUUUCGCUCUAAGAUGAGUCCGCGUAAGAUUAGCUAGUUGGUAGGGUAACGGCCUACCAAGGCGACGAUCUUUAACUGGUCUGAGAGGAUGAUCAGUCACACUGGAACUGAGACACGGUCCAGACUCCUACGGGAGGCAGCAGUAGGGAAUAUUGCACAAUGGAGGAAACUCUGAUGCAGCGACGCCGCGUGAGUGAUGAAGGCCUUCGGGUCGUAAAGCUCUGUCGCAGGGGAAUAACACAAUGAAGGUACCCUGUAAGAAAGGAUCGGCUAACUUCGUGCCAGCAGCCGCGGCAACAC
rnacentral:rRNA from 1 species